ensembl:misc_RNA Y_RNA Y RNA
GGCUGGUCCGAUGGUAGUGGGUUAUCAGAACUUAUUCACAUUAGUGUCACUAAAGUUGGUAUUCAACCCCCCACUGCUAAAUUUGACUGGCUUUAA